UUUUCUGACAUCCUUCCAUUUCAAAUGGGAAUUGUUCGCAAAACCAGAAAAGGGCGUGUUUUUUAUCAAAAUGCCAUUUCGCCUGUUCUCUGGUAUUAUAAAUACUGAGAGAAAGCGACUUGGCUGCAGAAGCAACUAAACUAAGACCAGUCUCAGCAGUGCUAAUCCCUCUCUACACGCCUCAAUAUGUGUGACCAAGAACAUAAAAAGAAGGACAAAGCUCCUGGACAAGAUUGUGAGGGUAAAGGUGAGCCAGGACAGGGCAAAGGAAAACAUGGAAGUCACGGACCACCAGAAGGAAAGGGACCAUCUUGUGGAACAGGGGCAGAACAUGCAAAAGGGGGAGGACAGAAAGCGGGGCGAGGAGGGCGAGGAGGGCAAGGAGAGCACGGAGGGAAAUAAUGACAACAACAUGUUGGAUCUCUGAGGAAAACUAUGCCUCUUUACAAUCUGUUUUAAUCUAUUAUCAUCUCAAGAGAUAUUAAAAAGAUAAUCUCGAUGUUUUAGUUUAAAAAGAUGUAUGAUGAAAAUGUAAUUUUCAGAUAGCCUGUACCUGCAAAUAUAGAGGCCAAGCACUUAUAGCCACAAAUGCCCAACUACCAGUGCAAUCACAGGUAAGCAAUAAUGUUAACAAACAAACAAAUAAAUAAAUAAAUAAAUAAAUGAAGUUAAAUGAAAUGAAAUGAUUCUCUACUCUUUGCUUUUUGGGAUUGCUUGAAAAUCUGGAGAGGGUGGAUUGAAAUUGAAAAUUGGUUUAGAGAAGCACUUAAAUGUAACAUUCUUCACUGCCUCUCUUUGUGUCUUUCAUGAUAGGCCUACUAGUUAUGGGCAGUUGUUCAGAUAUCUGAUAAAGCUUUUUCAAACCUGCAAAUCGAAUUUGCAUUUUGAGUUUUCUUCUUCCUCUGCAAAUAAAGAAGUAAUAAUAAAAAACUUA